AUUCGAUCCAGAAUCCACCUAUCGCAUUUUUAAAUAAAUAAAUGACUUAUAAAAAUAAAAUGAAAGGAUGAACCCAUCGUCUUCCCCACAUAGCCCCAGAUCCAAAUCCCCAACUCCAACAUUACUUCUCCUCCUGAAUUAAACCCGUAGAAUUUAAUCAGAAGAAGUCAACUAAGAUCGCUGAUGCUUACUGGAUCCAAAACAUGUUCGUAGCAGAAGGAUAGAGAAUCCAGGACUGAACCACCUGGCAGAUCUCAAGGAAAACGAUGAGCAGUGUGUGUAGGAUCUAACCAGCAGAUGCAGAUAACUUCCGGCGAUCUCCCAACCGAAAGGAUCAGACUACUAUAUAAAACUGCAAUGGCAGGCAGACUAGUUCAACAGAGAAAAGCUACAUAGCGUGUACGGAUCUGCUAGGGAUCAUAUCUGAAAUUUACUCACCUGGUAGGUUCAGUAGCUCACCACAGCGAAGAGCGCCCUGGCUAG
rnacentral:lncRNA from 1 species